GCCGAUGUAGCUCAGUUGGUAGAGCAACUGAUUCGUAAUCAGUAGGUCGUGGGUUCGACUCCCAUCAUUGGCUCCA
rnacentral:tRNA from 4 species